rnacentral:rRNA from 1 species
GACGAACGCUGGCGGCGUGCUUAACACAUGCAAGUCGAACGGAAAGGCCCUGCUUUUGUGGGGUGCUCGAGUGGCGAACGGGUGAGUAACACGUGAGUAACCUGCCCUUGACUUUGGGAUAACUUCAGGAAACUGGGGCUAAUACCGGAUAGGAGCUCCUGCUGCAUGGUGGGGGUUGGAAAGUUUCGGCGGUUGGGGAUGGACUCGCGGCUUAUCAGCUUGUUGGUGGGGUAGUGGCUUACCAAGGCUUUGACGGGUAGCCGGCCUGAGAGGGCGACCGGCCACAUUGGGACUGAGAUACGGCCCAGACUCCUACGGGAGGCAGCAGUGGGGAAUAUUGCACAGUGGGCGGAAGCCUGAUGCAGCAACGCCGCGUGCGGGAUGACGGCCUUCGGGUUGUAAACCGCUUUCGCCUGUGACGAAGCGUGAGUGACGGUAAUGGGUAAAGAAGCACCGGCUAACUACGUG